CAGGGAAUACGGUUUCUUCGAAUCUUAUCACAACACUGUGGCGGGAAGAUCAGGAAACGGGUUCACCUUUCAGCAGUCACCACAUUUUAUUUCAAACAUUAAAAGAGUACUGGUUUGCACAUGGUAGUUCUGAGUCAGGCCAAGGGUUUUGAGAUUUCUGACUUCUUCCACUGAAAAGGGCUUUCGCUGUAGUCAUUUUGCUCAGUUUUGUUGUGGGUCAUUUGAGUUAAAGAAAAUUUAAUAGCCGAAAACUGAAAUCAAAUCAACAUGACGAAAAGAAAUAGGUGAAAUGUAUAGAACAUUACUGCAUUCCCAUUGGAUCAAGAUGGUUUCGCCCAUUUUUCCUCUUUCACUAACACUGUUCCUUUUUUUCUUUGUUACAAUCCAUUCCUUGUGAACAUACAGAAAUGACCAAAGUCACUGCAAGUGGCUGUUUUUAUUUUUUGUGAUCUGUUGCAAGAGUCCAACCUUGUUUCCUCUGCUGCUGUUUGUGUAGCAUCUGGUUUUGUAAUGAGCAUCUGGAUUUAUGUGCAUGUGUG
rnacentral:lncRNA from 1 species